UUUGAAAUCCUCAAAACUACGAGAAAACUCACCGUUAAAAGCACACAGCAACGAAGUAUACUUCUCCCUCUGGUCAUAUGAUAGGGAACAGACAAGUAGUAUCAGAAGGUCAUCUGAUAGGGAACAGACUAGUAGUAUCAGAAGGUCAUCUGAUAGGGAACAGACUAGUAGUGUCAGAAGGUCAUCUGAUAGGGAACAGACUAGUAGUGUCAGAAGGUCAUCUGAUAGGGAACAGACUAGUAGUAUCGGAAGGUCAUCUGAUAGGGAACAGACUAGUAGUGUCAGAAGGUCAUCUGAUAGGGAACAGACUAGUAGUGUCAG
ensembl:lncRNA